UCUUGUUUCCGGCUUUUCGUUUCGGACUUCUCAGCUGUUUCAGCCAAGCGUUUCGGCCAAGCAUCAGCGAUUAUCUCUCCGCGUCAACAUCGUGCGCUUUGCUGGACUACGCGAAUUUGAAGGAUCGGCCCAAGCACGGCUUUUUCGAGCUGCCCUGUUCCAGUGCACCUAUCUGACCUGGUCGGUUGGUGAUGGAGGCGGAUGGCCGAAGCCGCAUUCCGAGCCUUCUGAGGCGCAGUGCCUCCAUGCGAGUGCGAGGGGAGCGACAUCCCAACGGGUGCUGCCCGUCCGCCGAUGGUGACUCGGUGGGAAGCACAGCUAGCCUAGUGUCCUGUGGUUCGGCCUCUGCACAACCAGCUUCCUCGCAGCAGCCAGCUCCAGUGGAGACAGCAGUGUCAUGUCACCGGCGAGGCAGCUGCCGUUCCGUGCUGCACUGCCAGCGUCCUGUGGACACCGACACUUACCUGACACCCACACAGCGCAAGGACCGUGAACUUCGACAGUUACGGGCGGCCUUGGCACGAGCCACUACAGAGGCUCGCUUGCGUGACGAACGUUUGCGUGAACUUACGGCCCAGCUGCAGUCACUGCAAACUUCACAGGACUCGUCAGUUGGAGGCUCAGCCGCGGAAGAGCGUGCAGCAGGUGUCUCACUGGGUGACAGUGGUGUGAGCAGUGAUGUGCUGCCCUCGCACCCCGAGAGUGUUCUAGAGGAAGAGGAUGCCAAUGGAGCACAGGCAGAGGCAGCUUCUGGGUGUACCGAGCCUGACAGAGCUGAGAGCGGAGACUCGGAGGACUCGACCGAGUCGCUGCCUGAGGAACGGCGCCAUUCUUCAGAGACGCUGCGCCGCAAGUACAGACAGUUGAAGCAUCGUUACGAGCAGCGCACCGAAAGCCUGUUGCAGAUGCUGGGAGACCUGAAUGCCAACAUUGCGGAGAGACAGCCCCGUGAAACCCCAGCAGGCCCGUCUUACCAGGCAGACCGAUGCGCUGUGGCAGCACGUGUCCACGUGCCAGUCGACGUGCAUCACCAGGUACCUGGAGCUUCGGCCAGCAUACGAGAGCACCCAAGAGCGCCUGCGCCACUUGGAACGGGAACUUUCGGAGGCACGAGCUGAAAUUGAAAAGCAAGAGCGCUGGCACAGUGAGAUGUACCUCAAGAUGUACAGGAAGGGCCAGGAAGCAGCACAGUUUGAGCGAAGCGAGGAAGUGCAGCCCAGUCCGUCAACGCUGCCCUCCUUCCGCGGCGCACCCAGCACCGAGCGGCAGGCGGAGUACACACUGCGCUUCCUCAAGGAUGCCGUGUUCUACUUCCUGACAGACCGGUCCGACUGCCGGGGACAUCUGAGCGCCAUCCAGUCCAUCCUGGGCUUCUCGGAGGCCGAGCGCGCAGCCGUGGCCAAGGCAUGGCGACACAGGGGUCGUCUCUGAAAAAACCCUGCCCCUAAGGUGCUUCCUCAAAGGUUUUUAGAGGAGCAGGAAAGGAUUAGGAGUGUAGCAGAUGCUGUUGUCCACGAAUGCUCCAGCUACAUUGUGGUGUUCUACGCUUCUUCUAUUUCUGCGUGGUAAGAAGGGGUCCCAAUGGGCACGUACAAUGCUUGAAUGAUUCCCGACCUUUAUCAGAAAUUUGAACCCUGGUACACUGCUUCUUUGAUGAGCUCUCAUUUCACACUUGUUGAAGGAGUUGACAAUAGUGAGGAAUCCUGAAAGGGAGAGGCUGCAUUAAUGGGCAGCUAUUGGUCACGCGCAACUUGACCCAUUACAUCUUGUACUGCGCUUUGUCGUUAAAAGCACGAAGACUCUCUUGACAGGUUCUACACUUAGAAUGCCCUUGAAGUAUAUAUACCAAAGAGCUUUUUCUUGAUAUAGGUGAUGAGCUGCUAUAGUUGAAUCAUCACUGGGGUUGUUUUUUCUUUAUCCCAAUGAAAGACUGCCUCGCAGUGCAGAGUUUACAAACAUAAAUAACAACUCUGUGACAACCCUGUUAGUAUUCAGUGAUCACUAUAGAUGUAUCUUGGCUCUACUUUGUGAAGUCAUCGUCUCGGUCACUGUGAGGGUUAGACUCUAAAUGAUAGUAAUACUGGUACUUCAUGCAUUGAUACUUUCUUAUACCUUGCUGUAGAACUAUAAUGUAGUUCAAGGUGUCCACUGUCUGUGAGAAAACCACGUUUCAUCAUGAGUUGAGACCCUUUGUUGUUCGUACUAUUCAUUCAAGGUUAUCAAGUGAUAUCAUUGAGCUACAUAACUGAAAGCAAUGUUUCAACAAAGAGACGACUGUAUUUUUUUUUCUCUCUGUUGAAUAAUUCACUGCAUAAAGCAUUUAUUGGACUGCCAGUGAUGUAAGUGCUGCUCCAAUUGCUCCAAACUGCUCCAAAGAAAGCUGCUGCUCUGCGCUGCUCUAAACAGCAAUCUUUGUUAAUAAUUGCUCCAAACCUGCACUGAAAUGACUAAGAUAAUCAGAAUUUUGAAAUUUUACUCUUUGACUGACUGAUAAGUUCUAAAGAAACUGAAAAGAAUCAGUGUACUAUCAUCCUAGUGUGCUACUAGUGUGCAGCAUUAUCAGCUGACAAAAUCUGGCGUAUCACGCAUAUAGCUCAUUUGGCUGUUUCUUUUUUCUAGGGGCGAAGCUCCUUAUGGUGUGGCUUGUGCGUUCUGUUGUCCAAGUGUGUAACCAGUGGCACAUACCCGCCCUCGGGCACACAUCUGCAUGUCCACAUGUUACGAAAAACGUAGCACGGAGUCGUUAUCACGCUCUCAGUGUUAACAAAGCGCUGACAGAAAAAAUGUGGUACAUACUCUCGUUUAGUCCUUGGAUUGUCCAAUGAAUGGCAGUAGUUGCAUAUGAUGAGUAUAUGAUAAAAAGAAGCGAGAUGGCGCUACUUAAAGUGUUCACUAGAUAGGCAGACGGAUGUACAGAUGGAUGCGUGAAUGGACAGACAGACAAGCGGAUGGACAGACAGACAGACAGACACACGCACCGAGGCAGAAACGGGCACACGUACGGACGGACAGAUGCGCGGACGGACGCUUCGCCCCACUCAUCAUGAUUCAUUCCAUAGAUAUGCUGUGAUAUUUUUUUUUCAACUAGUCAUGCAGGCUAGUAUGGUAAAAUGUAAAAACAAGCAGGAUUGCGUUUAUCUCAUAUCGACUACCCACUGCUUAUUUGACAACAGUUAUGUGGGACUAAGGUUACUUCUAAAAUGUGGCACUCAGCUUUUCCGCUUUGAUUUGAUUUGAUAUCUGUUACAAAUACUAGUGUUUUGAAUUGUAGCUCAUUUCACAGAACCUUUUUGACAAUCUGCCAUUGUUUGCCUCACGAUAUUUACAUUGAUUGUUAUUUGUUAAAUAUAUUUCUUAAGAAAUAUCAAUAUUUACGAGAUUUUAUGGCACUGCUCUGAAAUUAUUGUAAGGCAAAUUUACAAUCUGCUUCUAAAACAUCAGUAGCUGUUCUAAACUAGCAUUUUUUUUCUGCUCCAAAAACACUUAUGUUCCUGUUCUAAAGUAUGCUCCAAAAGGUAAUAAGGCACUUCCAUCACUGGAAGGCACAACUUGUUUUUUGUUUUGAAAGCUCAUCGUCUGCUAUUUCACCUUGUUAUGUAUUCUAAUGUUUUGUCAGAGUUGAGCUGUUGAUUUUGUUACAGGCAAGGCUCGUCUCCUUGCAAGCCACUUGUAGUUGAGGGUAAAGGCAUCUGCAUUUCAUGCAGCAGCUCUCCAAAUGAAAUUGAUGUCUGAUGCUGUCUUCUAUGUUUGUUUUAACAGACAAUGCACAGAACCACCGCAUUGGCAUCGACCACUUCCUAAAUCAAAUUGAAUGUUUCCAUUUCCACAGCUGUACUUCGAUGCCUCAUAAUGUCGGAAGACAGAUGUAUGCUUAAUGGUAAACAUACGACAAUGGGAGAACUAAGGCUGGACCUCUAAAGGGCCACUCACUAGCACUUUUGGAAAUGUGGAUUGCACACUGAAAGUCAUGAGGCACAACCUAGGGAGAACUUUAUUAGAGGGAAUUUUCGGAAUGGUUCGCUAAGUAACAGGGAACUGCAUGGACCUGUGAUCAUGCCUCAGAGAAGCUGGUUUCGCCGCAAGGGUGAAUGCUCUGCUAGAGUAUGCAGGGGACGUAGCCUCUUGAGUCCUUCGAACUGUUAAUGACAAGGGCUUCCAUAACGUACACAAAUUUGAGAGUUUGGCAGAAUCCCGCCUGGCCGGGGAAAGACAUGCACUAGAAAAAGACAUUGCUGACUAAAGUGAAAAUAUGUUCUUAAAAAGAUGUUUCAGGUCCUACACUGGGAGCUGAAACAUCUGUUUAAGAAUACAAUAUAAUUUUACUUUGGUCUGCAUCAUGUAUAUGUAACGAGAUCUGCCUCCUCGUUUCCUUUUCAUGGUGUCUCUGCUUUGCUUCAUGCUCCAUUCCCAGUGGUUACUUCACUCACAGUGGAUGAAGAACUGAACCCGUGAGGUGUGGUCAGUGACAUUCCAAGUAGCAUCUGUUGGGCAUUACUACAACUCUCUCCAAGUGUGUCUCUCUCAAAAGGGAGGCACUCUUGCAGCCUUCUGUUUACAUUUGGACUACUCAUGUGCUAGCAGGCAUGUCCUGAUUUACAGGCACUAUGGGUUCUGACUUAUCCACACCCUUUGUCUAUUCGUUAUCAAUCCUCAAAACUACAUAGAUAGCACAGGGUAUGCAUUCAACUUGCAUGAAUUAGUAGAUAUCUUUAUCUGAAUGUUUGUUUUAAUUUUUUUACUGACUUUUGCCUUAUCCAUGCAAGUACUUGUCCAACGAAACAACUUUCUUUUAGCUGAUAAUAGACGCUCGCAGUCUGCUCUGUUGAAUCUUCCACUUCGUGGUUCAGAGUGAAACUACAUUCAGGAGAGUGUAGAGUAUUGAAGCUUGUCAGUGCCUAAGCAGCACAUAUAAAUUUUUUUUCAUUUUGUAGAAGUUCGACAACAAAUGACAUCAAAGAUGUUAUUUUUUUUUAUCUAAACAAUGAUGCAUUGUUGGGUAAAGCUGCAAGGUAGCUUUUCAGACAAGUCAAAUGUUCAUUAAUGUGAUUUUGGUGCUGAAUCUGGUUUGAUAGGAUGCUGGCAACGCACCUCUUGGGCAUAUCCCCCAGCCUGCUCAGCUUGGUCUAGUAGAACAGGUCUGCUCAUUCAGGCCCUAGUGUUCAGCAUGUGCACACCAGCUGCUCCACUCGUUGGCAGCAGGCCGCAAAAAGUACUCUGCUAAAUGCUAAAACAGUUUACUGUACGCCUUGUCUUGCGGAAAUGUUCUGGAAGGCUAGCGGAAGUGCUCCUUGUGAACAAGCAUAAUACUGUGAUGGCGGCAUGAAAAAAAUAGCUUAGACAUUAGACAAAUAGCUUAGCUUCUAACAAAUUUCACAUGUGCACGACAGGAGUGUAACGAAAUUUCAUAUGUGAAAAAAAUAACCAACUUAAAAACAAAUUUAUAGAAUAUAUCUGCAGUGUACCACAUUCUUUUGUAGUAAAAUCUGUUUCUUUGUUUCCUUGGAAGAGGAACAAAGGGAUCACGUUGCAGUGAUGAAUUAUUGUCUUGGGUGUGUGUGUAUUCCAUCACACUUGGUCUUCAUGCUGGGAGACACCACAUGUUUUCUGACUAGCCUCUGCAUUGGCCCAACCAAAAAAUGUACAAAUGAUAAGUUGCAGGGGACACAGGAGAAAAAUUAAGUAUGCUGUGGGAAAUGCUAUUGUGAGCAGUAGCGAGUAGCAAAAUGAUGGGUUUGGUUACGUUAAUAAGGAACAUACUAGUAGCAUGCAUUAGUAUUGCAUCCAUUUUAUUAUCAACAAAAAAGCUACUACAGUUAUACCUCGAUGUGACACUGUAUAAUGAAAUUCACUAUAAUGCAUUUCAAUUUUAUUCUUUAUGUUUGGAAAAAAUGUACAAUUUUAAUGUCAGUGCAAUGAAGUGCGUUUACCAGCAAUUUCACAGAAUGCUAUAUAAUGUUCCAGUGCAAAGCAUGCCCAGAGUACAAGACCAUGCUUUGCACUGCUGUCUAAUAUCAUGCACGUGUAUUUUCUAAUGCUCCUGCAAAUGGACAUUCGCCACCUUGUGCACCUUCUGAGAUGUGCAUGUUCAGCUGACGAAAAAACUCUAAUGGCAUGAUGUACAGUUUAACCCUUUUUGUACUACUGACGAGUAUACCAUAUUUACUCGAUCGUAAGUCCACUCGAUUGUAAGUCAACCCUCUGAAAACUGCAAGGCAAAAAACAAAAACAAAAACCAAAAAGGCCAAACAUUUAAUUAUGAUGUCUCCAAAAGGAACAAAAUCAAAUUCUGGUGUGUCAAAGUGGCUUCACGGCAGUGCUUAAAAGCUGCGCAGAAAAAACUAGCAUCAUGGUAAUAUGCAGGCAUUGUUUUCAGAAAGAAACUAGAUUUCUAUUCUAGGUCGACUCCCCAACUCCGGAUUUAAAAUGAAGACUAAUUGGUUCGACCUACAAUCGUGUAAGUAUGGUAGUCAUUGUGAGCUUUCAUACUAAAUGGUCAGUGACGGCAAUACCCGUCAUCCAACAAAAAUUGGUCCCACAUAGAACCCAUAAAGAAUAUAUAUACUUGCUGUAGUUUUGUUUCUUGGCAUUAAAUGGCCAAACUUGCAAAAUUUUUGGGUGUAGCGCCACAUAUGAAAUUGUAAUAAAGAAGUUGACAGCAAAGAAGCGCACUAGUAACUAAUCUUUAUUUUGUGGCACUUACACUUAUACAGCCAAGGAACCAGGUAUUACUGAUAAAUUAAAAAUACUUGUUCUAGCUCCCUCCCAGUAACAUCUGUACUUGCACCCCUCUUGUUCCUAAUAUAUAUUAAUGAUCUUCCUGUUCAUGCAUCUUCCCAUAUCCGUUUAUUUGCCGACGACUGUGUCAUCUAUCGCACAGUUACUAACAUUUCUGAUCAAACUACACUCCCAACAGGAUCUUGAUCUCGUGCAACAGUAGUGUGACCUUUGGUUAAUGAAGCUUAACCCCACUAAAUGCAAACUCGUCUCAUUUCAACGCCAGUGUAAUCCUUUAUCAUUCUCAUACCUAAUCUCUAAUUCCGCUAUAGAAGAAGUUCAUUCAUAUAAAUACCUAGGCGUCACCUUAAUAUCUGACCUUUCCUGGAACACACACAUCAACAACAUCAUAUCAUCCACGAACAGAUCCCUCAGUUUCCUUAAGCGUCAUUUGCGUCAUGCACCAGUAAACAUAAAACUUCUGGCUUACAAAUCGCUCAUCAGACCUAAACUAGAAUAUGCAGCACUCAUCUGGAGCCCGCACCAGAUAUACCUAAUAAACGAAAUAGAAUCUGUACAAAAUCGUCCCACUAGGUUCAAGCAUAUCAUCCCUAAAACGUGAUAUUGAUGUUGCUAAUCUUUCUGUGCGUCGCCGCAUCGCCAGCCUCUGUUUGAUUCACAAGUUUUUUCACAGUUCCCUCAAUUAAGCAUCUUACAUUAUCCCACCAACGUGCAUAUCUCACCGCACGACCCAUCCUUAUUCAAUCGCACGCGCACGCGCUCGCACUACUACUUUUGCUGCCUCAUUUUUUCUUCACACAGCAGUGGACUGGAAUGGCCUUCCUCGUGACAUUGCAGCCAUCACGUGUUCAUCAACGUUUGCGCAAAACAUAAAUACAUAUUGUUUGUCAGAAGAUCACUCUCUGUAACCUCCAUUUGUUAACCCACCCCUUAUGUAAUACCCCCUCACCGGGGUCUUUAAGGUAAUAAAGUGAAGUGAAGCGAAGUGAAACACCACCACAUAGUAAAAGAAGAUGAGAACAGGUAAAACCGCCUACCACGCUAAUCGUCGAGAUAGUUCAUCUCACCAGAAAACAGGUCAAGAGACGGCUUACUGAUUCAUCUGCUCCCAACUUGUUGAUGAAAUACAGCUCAAUUAUUUCCCGCCCCCGUUUCAUUCUAUAUCUUUUUUCGCAUCUUCUCAAGCUCAGGUGUGCAGUGAGCUGACGCACACUUCUUUCUGCAAUGGAGAGCCAAGUUGCUUCCCGUGGCGCACUUAAAGUUGUUCUUAUGUUCUCUUAGACGUUCGGUGAUGCACCUGCCCGUUUGAUCAAUGUACACCAGCCUGCACGUCAGAGGGAUUUCGUAGAACACGUUCCUUUGGCAUCCAAGCGAGUAGGCCUCUUUCCUGUUGAAUUCUUGCAUAUAAUUUUGUACGCUGUGCUACACGAAAAAAUUCUGCAAUGAAAUACCAGCUGGCCUGCUUAGACACCCUUGUCCAAACUUGCCCGUGUUGUGCCAUUUGUGUCUUGGCUUUCAUUAUACUGCAUUCUUUUAUUUGUACUGCCGUGCAGUGGCACCGUAUUCAAGUUAUGCUUUUACUUGUGCAAUUAGUGAAAUUAAAAGUACCAAUUGAAAUGAAAAAAUAUUAUUAGAAAAAAAAGCUCUGUAAAUUGAGCAAAAAAAGUUUCAGUAUAAUUGGUACAAUCGUCUUCUUUUUUUACAGUAGAGAGAGGGUCAGUAGAUACAUAGGCUGAUGAUCACACGUAACUAAACCACUUUGGUGUCAGUUAAAGGGACACUAAAAAGAAACAAUGAGUUGUUUUAGAUGAAUUAACUGCACUUUGAGAACUCCAAUGUCAUAAGUUUCACUGUCAUGAGUUCUUUAUUACGGAGAAAGUCAAGGUUGAAGUUUCUAUGAAUUAUGACUAAGCUCGAACAAAGACGUAGAAGAGGACUGACAUGAACAGAGUGCUGUUGUCCGUUCGUGCUUACUCACAAUUCAUGGAUGCAAACCAACUAGCCCACCAACGUGUUGUUUCAUUUUUUACUUUUGCGCCGUAAUCUCCGCUCGUCAUGUAAAAAAUUCUACAAUUUAUUUUUUAUAUUUUCGUGACAUUAGCUCGAUGAAAUUUUCUGAAACUUCAUGUGCUAAGUCUAUGGCAUCCGCAGAUUACGAUGUACUUCGAUUUCAUUGAUUAGAAGCUAUGUGGGAUGGUUUCGAAAUUGAUGACGUCACAGUGUUUGGUGCGGGAAUCUCUAGGUGGCGUUUCCACCCGCAGUUUCUUUUCGCGCGUUUUCUCGCAUGCCAAGUGUCAUGUUACAGUAAGAGUGGCGUUUUUGAGAUUGUGAAAUUGUACUUUACUAAUAUGGCAAAAAUUGUUUUGCUCUUUAGUGUCCCUUUAAGUAUCAAUGUUUUUUGGUUGCGUGUGUGUGACAGCAGUCUGAAUGUGUAGCGACACUUACUUAGCUAGAGAUAUAAAAAUUAUUAGGUGUAACAAUAUGAAGCUACAAAUUCAAGCACUUGGUUAAUAUUGAGAAUUGGUAUGUGACCUUAAUCCACAAUUUAUGUGCAACGUCCCCUUAAAUGUUCUCUAUUUCUAAUUAUUGAAAAGCUAUGUGUUUUGAUGCAGUAUGUUUCUCAUGUCAAAGUCACCAAAGAUGUACAGUUUAUUGAAGGCUGACUGAAGCAGCUACUUGCAGAGCGCUCCAUUGUUGGGGAGGGUCUUGUGAAUGAAUUGUGAGUGAAAGGGUUAAAUUGAACUGAAACAAAACAAGAGUGAAGAAUUCACACAUGUGGAAGAACAUGUGUGUGUCCUUUUGGAAAAAUGAAGGCUUCUGUGCACAAUAACAACCUACAGUGUAACAUUAGGAUAUUAUCUUGUCCAAGUUUGUGCGAGGUGGGUCAGCUGAAUGAUAGAUGCUUUUGCACUAUCAGUGACAGUCUUUGGUCAUCUAUUUUUGCCUAUUUUAUGUUCUCAUCAUUUUCACACUCAUUCUUCUGUAUCAUAAUGGUGUGGAGAUUAUAGCUACAUAUUGGAUUGGAUAAACUUUCAUUUUUUUUUAUUGGAUAAACUCUUGUUCACGAAUUUUGAUGAGUGCAAGGUUAAAAAGAGUGUCAGGCUUGUGUAUGGUAUUUCACCAUGCUUGUAACUGGUGUGCCUUUUGGUGUGCAGGUGUUCAGGCCUGCCCGUUUUUGCCCUGAGGUGUUUCGUACAUUUGAUGUGUGCUGUGAUCUGAUAGUGCAUAUCACCCUGACUGACUGACUGUGCAGACAUAUCAGACUGUUGAGCAUUCAAGCUUUCUGUCAUGGCAACACAAGUUCAGAGUUUAUGGCUCAACGUGAAUUGUGCAGUUAUAGAAGACAUACUAUAUACACAAGACAUGUCACAUCCAUCUCACUCCAAUACGUUACAUUCAGACAGCACUCAGUGGCCAAGCUUUCUGUUUUGCUGCACUCACAUGAUGUUUGUGAAGUUGUUCUAGUUAGAUUUGACAAUGUGGCUGUUCAUAAUCACACUGCGAUGAGAGCAAACAAGAUAUGUAUUUGGAUUACGACAGAAACGAAAAGGUUCUCCAUAAUCUUGAAAGAACCAUGUUAUAUCUUAACAGUGCAAAAACAAAAUAAGGCACAUGGACAAGAAAAGCACAAAGGUGACACUUUCAACUGAGGUUGUCCGCAGAAAAGCGAGAAAGUACACGAAAAUCGCAUGAUACGACAACAACUAGAAUGAUGUGUAAGGGUUCCUAUAUCACAUGUUUUAUGUAUACACAUAGAAUAAAUAGCUAAAUUAUUUUGCUGUGAUAUUGAUAGAUGGCAUGCUGGUGUAUUACCUAAGUACACUUAAGUAAUCUCUGGUGCCUGUUAUUUCCUCUGAAGUCCCGGAACUGGUUCGCUCCAGCACCAGGCACUAAAUGUAUAUUGGUCUGUAGUGUCACAUUUGCUGCUUGAAGCACCAAGUGCCUGCAGGAUCUAACUUGUCUACUAAUUUGUCUAAAUAAUACUAAACAAAUUACAGAAGCAGACACAGUAUUGUCUAAUUGAGCACGGAACACUCUAUGUAGUUCUUUGCACUUUGUAGUUCAAUGUCACUGCCCUUCAUAUAGUAAUGAAUUGCUGUGCAUAGUGUCUUUGUUCUUUCAUUCUUGUGUGUUGUAGUGUUUGAGUUUAAAUGCACUGAAAGUUAAGGGUAAAAUUGGUGCUUGUUUCAUGUUUGCUACAUAUCUAUAGCAUGUUCAUGGUUUCAGGUUAAAGUUGCAGCUGUGGCAAGCACACUUUUAUUGUGCCGAGUUGGCAAGUUUGAGACAAAUGUGACCUUCCCCAUCUCAUUUAUUUUAGUAGCUUCCACAAUUUAUUAAUGUGGAGAAAUCACCAAAGUCACUGCGGACGCCACUAGUAUUGGAGAAGCGAGAUACCCACGUAGCAGUGUCAUUUUAUAUUUAUCAUCACUGUGUGAUUUGCAAACAUCAGUGAUCCUGUUGGAAGCAGCUUUUAAUGCAGCGCAUGAGUUCAGUUCCCCACCUGCAUCUAGUUCUUUGAGGAUGCUCCUUUUAAAAGGAUAGGGCCACAAAUCAGCCAAGCUAUGUCAAGUUUUCUGUACAUAACAAAAGAAAAUGUGCUCGUGUGCAUUGGGAUUGUCAGUACUUACACCUAUGCGGCAGGCAGUGUGCAAGUUUACUAUAGCAUUUCACAUUCUUUUUCUAUACUUAAAGACCAAUUUUUACUAUGCAUUGCACCUGCUUUUUUUUAGAGUUCGUGUUGAAAAAGAUGCUAACGCAUGCGUUUUACACUGUACUAGGACUUGCUGUUAUGGAAAUGAGGGGUGAAUAGUAUUGCAUAACCCUGGAUACAUAAACAAAGCAGGAAUGGGUGGAAGGGAACAUGAAUAGCUUGUAGCAAAAACACACAUAUCAUGUUGAUUGCUCUUUCUGAGUAGCAGAAUGUGACAACCAAUGCAUUGAACACUUGCUGAGCCGGGAAUUAAUGCGAAAAUUUAAUACUGGCUCUGAAUCGACUGUUUCAAGCUCUUUCAUUAUAGUCUCAUUGGAAGAAAAAGCUUUUUGAGCCUACCAGCUUAACGGGACAUGAUGUUCUGUAGAGCUGUGGUGUGGUGCUGUAGACCCCCCAUCUGUAGACUGCUCUUUAAGUGAGGCUCACUGUAGCUUUGUAAUGAUUCACUCAAAUGCACACUUAGUGCUCAAUGGCUUAUAGCCUGAUGCAAAAACGUCCUCACCAUGACAACUUACAGUGUGCAGCAUCACUAGAGAACUGCUGGCAACUUACUCAAAGUGUUUAUGUUUCUACAUUUUUGCUCCCUUUUGAGCUUGUGCUAACACACUGGAUAGUGUGUAUUUUAUGUUUACAUGUUGAUAUUAAGUGGUGUAGCUGUCUCUACUUAUAUAUGCAAAUGAGGUGCUUUUAUAUUUUGAGUUACCGUGAAAGCUGUCACUUACGUGCAGCUGGAUCAUGACGGGUCAUCAAUUAGCUUUUCAAUCAUCGCUGUGGCCAUUCUUACAUAGUUAUGACUUCUGCAUGUCUUUCAUUUGCUCCUGAAGGCCUACACGUUUUGCAAAUGAGCGUGUGAUAUGGGAGAAGGAAGUAUAUAGGUAUCUUUGUUAAGGUGAGCACGGCAUCUGCGUCUUUAUUGCAUUAAAGUGACAGAAGUGGUAAUUGAGCAUCAGCCAUGUCACUCGCCAUGUCAUUGCUCUUUCCAUGUCUCCGCAGCCGCUCUACUUGUUUCAGUCACUGCAGUGACAUGCAGCACGGUAUCACUGACUGGUGCUAGUGUGAAAAUUCUGGGCAUUUAUGAUAGUGCGCAUUGUAUGAUUCUGCUUUUGAAAGUGUUGCUCGUGCAAAGAUUUGAUAGACUGGAGUCUGUAAUAAGCCUUCUUAGAAAUGGAGCUAUGACUGGUUGGCACAGUUGAACAACAGGGAAGCUUCUUUUAACACUUUUGUCUGCACUGACCACGAGCUGCAGUGCCCCCCUGACUGUAGCAGGUAUAGUAAGUAGAAGACCUGCAUUUUAGGUGCAUGAGCAAAAGUUGCAUUUGCAUGCACUGGAAGCAGCGCUAUCUAAUUGUAACAAUGGCGCAAGGAGGUUUUGAUCUUAACAACUCCUAAAAUUUGUAUCUAUUAUUCUGCUCCACUGUUAGCACACCUGGUCUAAAAGAAAAAGAAACUAACCAACAAAAAGCUCUUGUAUUGAAACAAAACUUGGCAGAACAUGCUUGGCCGCUGUCUCAAAAGGCUCAGGUUUAAUCUCAGCCCUGGUGGUCCCAUUUCGAUCCAUGUGAAAUGCAAGAGAUUCAUGUGCUCAGAUUCAAGCGCAUGUUCAGUAACACUAGGUGGUUGAAAUUUUCAGAAGUCUUCACGACAACAUGCCUCAUUAUCGUAUUGUUGUUCUGGCACGAAAAAACCAUAGCCGUUAUUACUGAUGUGGAAUAGAAAUGUCUGUAAAAAAAUAUGUAGCAAUUUUCGGUUGUAUCUUUUGUUCAUAAGUGUUCAAAGUGCUUCACCCAUUGACCAGCAUAUUCAAAAAAACAUUUAUUUCCCAUUUGCGGUUCCUAUGACUAUUUGAACCAGAUGGUGCAUUUGCUGAAAAGAGGGAAGUAGUACUAAUUGCGAGAACAUGGACAUAAGGUCUUCAUGGCAAGCCAAACAGGUGAGCCUUAACAGUGAAAGGAACAUUUAGCGUAGAGCCCUCACAUCAUUGGUAACUUAUCCAGCUCCAAGAUUUUUGCAUCACCUUGUAACUUUCUGCGUUUAGAACUAACUUAUCAAAGGCAUUGACUCAGAAGAGGCCCUCAGACGGCCUUACAAGACGUGCACUCCAACCUGCAUCUGAAAUUAUCAAAUCAUGGUUCCCACGCAAAAAGAUGUUUUACAUUGCUGGAACUUUCGAAAAGCUUUGAAAAAGCUCUCGAGACGGCUUUCUGCACCAUCCAACAAAAAUAUUUCCUGAUUUGCAAUCUCCUUUCCGUCAUUUAUUGCAACUUUACGUCCUGUCCCUGGUUUUGUCAUUACCCUUUUGUGCUUUAAUGUGCAUUCUACCUGGGCCUGCACAAUCAUACUUUAUUGUGAGUUUUGUUAUUGGUGCCGCAGCUUGGGUUUCGAUCACAUUUCGCUAAGCCCAGCAUGUUCAAGAAGUGCAUUCUAUUUCUUGAAGGCAGCAUGGCAGCACAGGCAAUGCUUGCAACUGAAACUUAUUGAAAGGAACAUUACAGAAACAUAGACACAAACAAACUGUGCAGUUGCCGAAACAUGACACUGAUCACUUCAUGCCAACUGCAUGUGUGCAGACAAAAGUGGGUAUUUUUCUUUUUUUUUUUUUUUGGUUGAGUCAUUUGUCUUUUUGUUUAUUUAUCACAUUUCUUGCAGUGCUAGUGUUGCAAAGAUCACAGUACAUAUCCAAAUUGACUAAAAGCGACACAAGCAGUAAUUGAAUAUAAGCUGACCAACUAGAUUGUAGCUGUUCUUGUUCUUGGCCAGCUGUGUACUUAGCAUGCCCUCUUAAUCGUCUUAAAGUUUUUGCAAGUUGUUUCUUGUAGAAAUAAUGUUGGGCACAAUAAUUCGAACACUUUGCUGUGGUCAGUUAUUUUUUUGCACUAUAGUACAUACUCUUCCAAAUUUGUUACACACAAAAUUGCACUUUUAAUGCUAUAUUGGGAACCUGCCUUUUGGAUGCCAUAUGACUUUUCUACCAUAAGGAAUAAUAGUAAUGCUUAUUUUUUAAAAUCUUAUGCUCUCGUUGCGAUGCAAACCCCGCUUUCAUCUGCUUGAAAAGAUUUUUGCAUUGAGAACUCGUGAUAUGGCUUGGUGCUUUAUUCUGGAACGAACAAGUCUGUGUGAUCGAAAGAAAAAUCUGCUCGUGGGAUGCCUACAAGGUUAUCUGAGUGCUGGUUGAAAAAACUGAGGUUGAAAUACUUGUUACAUAUGAGAGCUAGAAAUCUUGUUUGACAUGAAGAUGGUGGAAAUGCUGUGCAUAAAAAGUGCCAUUGAGACUUUUAAUUUUCUUGUCAUGAAGGAAAAUCAGUUUUUUUCUUCUUAUAGGCCAGAUAGUGAUCUUAUUGCUAACAAUGUUUUCACACUUACACUGUAUGUUUGUUUAACCAACUUCUGCUUUCCCCCUCCGACCCCUCUCUUUCUUUUUUUUUAUGACAGCUUGCAUGAAGUGACAAAUGCCUUCAUUCAGUGACUAUGCAAUGGACCUGCGCAGAUAUUUCUGCUGUUUUCUUUUAUUUUUUCAAUGCUCUUCAGUUGCUAGUUGGUGCGUGCAAUCUUAGUCCUUUGUGUCAUGCUUCCAUCAUUUUAUUGUGAAACCAGUACCACAAGCCCAAAUGUUAAUCUUGCUGUAGUCUAGUGCUUCCCUAUGACGUGUAAUCACAAUAUGUUUAUUUUUUUGGGAUAUGUUACACUUUAUAUAGCCCAUGUUUUAUAUAGUAAAUGCAUGUGUAAUAUUUUCAACCUUUUUUUCAUUGCUAUGUAUAUAGCUUUUUCACAUUUUCAGUGCUGAUUUUGUCAGUUUAUGCACGGCCCCUCUGGCUUCUGUUGAUGGCAACAUUUAGGAUUUUGCCUUCUGCACCAUUGACGAGGGUUCAGCCUUGGUGCUAUUGGUCACCUUGCAGAUGAACCCAGAAACUGCUGGGAACCACGUGCACAAGCAUUGUGAUACAAGCUACUACACUGUACAGUGCAUUUAUGCACGAUUUUAUGUUCAUUAGAGAAUAAACACUGUUGUGCUGAAAAAUUA